UACGUAGGGUGCAAGCGUUAAUCGGAAUUACUGGGCGUAAAGCGUGCGCAGGCGGUUUUGUAAGACUGUCGUGAAAUCCCCGGGCUCAACCUGGGAAUGGCGAUGGUGACUGCAAGGCUAGAGUUUGGCAGAGGGGGGUAGAAUUCCACGUGUAGCAGUGAAAUGCGUAGAGAUGUGGAGGAAUACCAAUGGCGAAGGCAGCCCCCUGGGAUAAUAUUGACGCUCAUGCACGAAAGCGUGGGGAGCAAACAGG
rnacentral:rRNA from 1 species